CCUGUCCAACGUUAAUCGGGGCAGGGUGAGUCGACCCCUAAGGCGAGGCCGAAAGGCGUAGUCGAUGGGAAACAGGUUAAUAUUCCUGUACUUGGUGUUACUGCGAAGGGGGGACGGAGAAGGCUAUGUUGGCCGGGCGACGGUUGUCCCGGUUUAAGCGUGUAGGCUGGUUUUCCAGGCAAAUCCGGAAAAUCAAGGCUGAGGCGUGAUGACGAGGCACUACGGUGCUGAAGCAACAAAUGCCCUGCUUCCAGGAAAAGCCUCUAAGCAUCAGGUAACAUCAAAUCGUACCCCAAACCGACACAGGUGGUCAGGUAGAGAAUACCAAGGCGCUUGAGAGAACUCGGGUGAAGGAACUAGGCAAAAUGGUGCCGUAACUUCGGGAGAAGGCACGCUGAUAUGUAGGUGAAGUCCCUCGCGGAUGGAGCUGAAAUCAGUCGAAGAUACCAGCUGGCUGCAACUGUUUAUUAAAAACACAGCACUGUGCAAACACGAAAGUGGACGUAUACGGUGUGACGCCUGCCCGGUGC
rnacentral:rRNA from 1 species